AGUCAACUAUGUAGUGCCUGAACUUUUGAAAAUAUGUUGUAUAUUUUAUAUAUUAUAAAAUAUUGUUAGUCUCAAAAGUCCCAAACUCCCAUACUACAUAUUAAAUUGCACCUUUGAUAUUUUUGUAGCUAUCACAAUAGCAAAAGAGUCUAGUAUUGUUUAAAGAUACAGUGGAACCCAUAUAACAUGGAAUAGGAAGACGACUGUUAGACUCAAACUCUGAUUUUAAAGAGCCUAAUCACAGCAUUAUACAAUUGUGCAUGGAUCCAUUUCUCUCAGUAACUUUAUUUUCAGCCUACGAUUCAAAUUAGUUGCUCUAUAACGACAUCAAAUAACUUAAAUGUAGUCUUUCUAUUCCACAGUUUUAUGGGCUCUCUGUACAAAAUAUAAGAUGAUUAAUUCUGACAAAGUUUUGAGAAUCUGACAGAGAGUAGAAUAGUUUUCUCAUAUAUAAGAUAUUAUCUGAUUAAUUAAAGUUGAAAAAGUUUCUAUAUUUCUCCCUCUAGUGGUUACUCAUUACAUCCUGGGGGAGGGAGAAGGGAUUACAAAACUCUAAUCUCAGUGAAUCCAUCCUUGAGUUAAAGAUAUCUCUGUGUAGAGAGUAUCUCUCCGCUCUUUCAGUUCUAGAUCCGGGUAUCAGUCAUAAUAGAGGUUUAACUCUUUGGGAACUUUACUCCACGCACACUUUUCUACUCAAUAAAAGGUUUCAGG